CUGGAGCCCAUCUCCACGCACAUGGAUCUGCGUUUUGAUUCCAGUCAUGUUCUCUACCAGCCGAGGAAAGCGUUCAAGAGAUACUUAACCUCACUGGUCUGGCAGCUUAUCCAAGGAAACUUCUUUUUCUCCUAUUCGCUACGGAGUGCAUAUUAGGCCACUGGAGGGAGAAGAGUGGACAACGUGGUAAAAGCUGGAGGCCAAUGCCAGAACCACUGGGAUGUGCAGGGUGAUACCCGCCUGCCCACUGGACCAAGAAACCGAAAGCCUGCGUUCUAGCCCCAAACCUCGUCUGCCAGCGCUCAGCCAACAAAUCUACCCGUUGAGGCUUGGAGCUGGCAGCUAGAAGAGUGAUGGUGAGAGGCUGUGAUACUCCGCGUGGAGGCCUAGCAUCUUAACAGGCUGAUUUCCAUUCAAGGAGCAAUGUGGUCCCUGCUCCCAGGCCACGUUCCCUGGAGUGUGGUGAUGGGCAAAACGCCACCGGUGCCACACACAGAUUCUGCUGCUCUCUCGGAUUUGGAUCAACAAACUUUUCUGGGGAAUUGUGGAUCCAGCAGACCAAUAUUCACUUAUCUCAACCAAUGACAGAUACCACAAGGGAAAUGAUUUUCAGAUUUAAGUCACCCAAGUCCGUGACCAAACAAGUUACAGUGUAGAUGGAAAAACUCUUGUUCCUGCAGCUCGUGGGUGAGAAGAGCCUGCUGACUGGGAAUUAUUUACACCGCAAGUCAGAAGGGGCAGCAGAAUCAGGUGACAUAUGGCCCUCGGGCCUCUCACUCCUGUGAUUGGCAGGUCACACUCUCUGGUUUUUUGACUAAGGCCUGUCACAGUUGAAAAGACAGCUAGAGAAAUGGUUUUCACUUCACUGAGGGCGAUGCCACAGGUCACCCAACGCUGCUACCCCAACAGUGAAAUGCUGCAGUGCUUCUCCAUUAAGGACCCUGCUCAGAGUAGUUUCACUCUGCUGUGUGUUCCUGCUGGAUGAGAAGGUUGCCAGAUGGACCAAUGGAAAGAAGAGGAAACACCGUAACUUACAUGUAUUUGCCAAAGCUGACAAGACGGUGUAUUAUUUAUUAACAGACUUACAGGGAAUUUAGAAUCACAACUGAGCAAAUAUGAGAAGGAAGUGUGUCCAAAAUAGCUUGUUUUGGACAAGAAUUAAGAAACAAACAAGAAAACACCACAGCAACAUGCUGAUGAAGUAGGAAAUUUAUAAGGAAGAUCUAGAAACUCAAGAGUGUCUUUCAAGGGAUAAAUUUGAUCUGAUUUGAUAGAAUCUGAAGUACAGUUGGUGGCAAACCUCUGCAGAGUUUCCCUGGC